rnacentral:rRNA from 1 species
CCCCUGGGAAGUCCUCGUGUUGUAUCCCU